AAAUUGAAGAGUUUGAUCAUGGCUCAGAUUGAACGCUGGCGGCAGGCCUAACACAUGCAAGUCGAACGGUAACAGAAAGCAGCUUGCUGCUUUGCUGACGAGUGGCGGACGGGUGAGUAAUGUCUGGGAAACUGCCUGAUGGAGGGGGAUAACUACUGGAAACGGUAGCUAAUACCGCAUAACGUCGCAAGACCAAAGAGGGGGACCUUCGGGCCUCUUGCCAUCGGAUGUGCCCAGAUGGGAUUAGCUAGUAGGUGGG
rnacentral:rRNA from 1 species